GGUCCUAUGGUGUAAUGGUUAGAACUCAGGACUCUGAAUCCUGCAAUCUAAAUUCAAAUCUCAGUGGGACCU
rnacentral:tRNA from 1 species